rfam:Ovis aries breed Texel chromosome 12, whole genome shotgun sequence.
UCCCUGAUGGUCCAAUGGUUAGGACUCUGCCCUUUCACUGCUGAGGGUCUGGGUUCAAUCCUUGGUCGGGGAA